AUUGAACGCUGGCGGCAUGCCUUACACAUGCAAGUCGAACGGCAGCACGGGUGCUUGCACCUGGUGGCGAGUGGCGGACGGGUGAGUAAUACAUCGGAACGUGUCCAGAAGAGGGGGAUAACGCAUCGAAAGAUGUGCUAAUACCGCAUAUGCUCUGAGGAGGAAAGUGGGGGAUCGAAAGACCUUACGCUUUUGGAGCGGCCGAUGUCUGAUUAGCUAGUUGGUGGGGUAAGGGCCUACCAAGGCGACGAUCAGUAGUUGGUCUGAGAGGACGACCAGCCACACUGGGACUGAGACACGGCCCAGACUCCUACGGGAGGCAGCAGUGGGGAAUUUUGGACAAUGGGCGCAAGCCUGAUCCAGCAAUGCCGCGUGAGUGAAGAAGGCCUGGUUGUAAGACUCUUUCAGUCGAGAAGAAAGGACUGCGGUGAAUAACUGUAGUUUAUGACGGUAUCGGACAGAAGAAGACACCGGAC
rnacentral:rRNA from 1 species